rnacentral:lncRNA from 7 species
AUGGAAGCCCUGAGACUGCUCGGUGCAAGGGUGGUGGUAUAGGACUGCUCUGGGAGAGCAUAGUGUCUAUGCUACUGGCCAGCUUUGUGCAUGUAUGGGAACUGUUGAGUCCCAGCCUGAAGCACUGAUUGAGCACCUGGAGAAAGGAGCCGGUCAGCCCUAGGAGCACAGGUGAAGGUAGUUCAGCUGUGUGACUGUAAGGGGUGGAGCCUGGCUGCACCUCCCUUAGACCUCAUUUAAGGGCUGACCCCCCCUGGGGAUGGGUCUGUUUCUGGAGAUCCCUCUUUGGAGAAGCUUUCCCCUGCAAACCUGGAAUCUUCUGAUACUGGUUCCUCGCUAGGCACUGGAGCUGAUUGCAGUGGUGAUCCAGCAAAUCACAGUAGUGAUGCUGCUGAUGGAAUAACUCCUUGGGGUUCCACACGGUUGCUGUGCGGGCACUGAGUUUCAAACUGCAGAAAAGGAGCAGGAAAGCCUGAUAUUUGGGUGCAUCAACUGGAGCUUUCAUCCCCACCCCAGGGAGAUGGGUUUUGGAGCCCUAGCAGCCUGCCCACCCUAUGGACAUGGCCAGAUACCCCCAGUUCCUUCCCAAGCACUGCUACCCAGAGAGGUGCUCUGUCCUGGCUAUGGGAGUUGAGCACGAAUAACUCACAAAUAAUGGAAAUCCCCACCAUGUGCCCCCAGCAUUGGCACGGCUCAGGGCCCUGCAAGAAGCGCGCUGCCUUGUUUGUCACCUGAAGCACUUGGAAAAAUUACACAAAUCCAUCAAUGUAAUGAAUCUUCUCAGCAGUGGCAAAUAGACAGAGACAGACAGGCACUCAGCUGAAACAAGUCAUCUUUAAAAAUUAAUACAAAAUAAACAGCUGGCCUUUCGCUCC